rnacentral:lncRNA from 1 species
CAUAUAUAUAUAUAUAUAUAUAUAUAUAUAUAUAUAUAUAUAUAUAUAUAUAUAUAUAUAUAUAUAUGGAGUAUCUGUGUGAUUAAUAUUAAGUAUCCCUUGGUUUAGACUAAACCCAAUUAAAUUGUACGAAAGUUAUGUAAGGGUGUAUAAUAAGAAUUAUUUUAAGAAAAAAACAUAGAAUUGUAAUCUACUGAGGUUACCCAUAAAACAGAAAACGUGCUGUCAUAAAAUGUUUAAAACGCACACCAGUAGCGGUAUAUUUGAAAGCCAAUAACUAAUUAAAGAAAGGUGAUAUCAUGAAUUACAUGGUUCUGGAUAAGAUAUUUUAGAGUAUCGAUAACAUUACGAAAAUUAGAGAAGAGAACCAACGUUUUGUGUAAAAAUGGUGACGUGUCAUGAAUGACGUCACACAAAGGGACCCUUGUGGUCAAGUGAGUGACCUGGUUACGCCUGGAGCAAGGUGACAUUAGGCGAGCCGAUGGGAACACGAGCAGGAGAUUAUGUCUGUCCUAGCUGAGGUAAGAGUAGUUUAUUUCAUUUAGUGACUGUGUAAUAUAUAGAGAGAGGGAUAAUGAUGAUAAAUGCCACAAAGAAAUACAUAUAUAAUAGGGAGACUUAUUCUGGUAAAUCUUGCCUCAGACGCCAUCUUCCUCGCCAUAAGGGUGAAUUCCCCUCAUUCCGAGUUUACCAAAUUAAACUCGUUAUAAGAGCGGGUUCAAAGGCUGAGUUUGAAGACUGAGUUUGAAGACUGAGUUCUAAGGCUGACUUCAAAGACCGGAACUCCAGACCGGAUGUUCAGGUCAUGAUUGUUCAAGACGUCACGACCGACUCUCAACGAAGAAGAAAGAAGAGUGAAGACAGAAAUCUUAUGAGUGUCAGAGUGAUUGCUAUGAAAGAUAUAUAUAAGAAGUUAUUUUUGUAUGUGUUGAGUUAUUAUGUGAUUUAAUAGACAGUAUAAGGCAUGAA